CGCAGCUCCCGCUGGCCUCCAAGGUCCAGCGGCUCGCGGACAAUGUCCAGCUUGCGAGGCAGGAUUUCUAGGAGCUGAGACAAGAGGCGAGCGAACUGCAGGAGUAUUCCAACGCGAAGCUCGAUCGAGUCACGCACUACCUCGGCGUUCUUGCCGACAAGAUGCGGAAACUAGAGUAAUUAUGAUAGAAAAGCAUCACCUUUCCUGGCGAAAGAAUUACUUGGAAUUUAUACAAAGGAGAAAAGUUG